rnacentral:rRNA from 1 species
AUUGAACGCUGGCGGCAGGCCUAACACAUGCAAGUCGAGCGGGGUUUUCGGACCUAGCGGCGGACGGGUGAGUAAUGCGUAGGAAGCUGCCCGAUAGGGGGAGGGUACCAGUUGGAAACGACUGUUAAUACCGCAUAAUGUCUACGGACCAAAGUGUGGGACCUUCGGGCCACAUGCUAUCGGAUGCGCCUACGUGGGAU